CACAAGUCAGUCUCAGUUUGAUGCCAGAUGCAAGCAGAUGGAGACACAGCUGGCAGCUCUUGUCUUUCUACUCUCUACCGCAGUUCCAAGCGAUGCACUCUGCUGGACACCUCCCAGUCCUCAACUCCAAUGAACAAGAUACCAGUUCUGAUCCACUGACUGUCUCCUGUCACACUCUCCCUUGGAGGCAACUGGCUUAGUGUUUACUGUGACCUUAUCUCUAACUCCAUCUGUGGGGAUGCCUUCGCCUUCCGCUAGUGACACAGCGCCAAAUAAUCUAAAGAGAAACUUUCUGUUUCACAAAAGGUUCUAUAUGGCGAAAGAAGUUCUUCAGAUUAUAGAAAG